GCUGUUAGCCCUCUGUAGGGCCUGCGGGAUGGGACAGAGUUUCAUUUUCAUUCAAAAAGAUGUUGCUACAUAUAAAGGAACAAACUCAGUUAUUUCCUCCCAGGGUAGGGAAAACCCAGCCCUUCCUCCUGUGUGUCUCUCCCGUGAGUCUCCUAUACUGCCACACGGAGCAUUUCACUUCUGACACGUCUGGUCACCAAAUGUGUGGGUUUUCCCCACAACAACAGGCAAGUUUCUGACGCCAGCUGGGUGUCCUACAAUUUGUCUCAAUUCUGACACUAUCUACCUGAAGACAAUGUCAGAUCCUACAGGUUGCUUCCGUCUUGGCUGUUGUGAAUAACGCUGCAGUGAACACAGAGGUGCAUGUACCUUUGUGCAUUUGUGUUUUCAUGUUCUUUGGACUGGCCCUGAGCGAACAUCUGUGCCCAUCUUCCUCUACUUUAUACGUGGGACGCCUGACAGUGCAUGGUUUCAUAAGCGGUGCGUAGGUCCGCGCCUGGGGU
rnacentral:lncRNA from 1 species